AGAGUUUGAUCCUGGCUCAGAUUGAACGCUGGCGGCAUGCCUUACACAUGCAAGUCGAACGGCAGCACGGGAGCAAUCCUGGUGGCGAGUGGCGAACGGGUGAGUAAUACAUCGGAACGUGCCCAAUCGUGGGGGAUAACGCAGCGAAAGCUGUGCUAAUACCGCAUAAGAUCUACGGAUGAAAGCAGGGGAUCGCAAGACCUUGCGCGAAUGGAGCGGCCGAUGGCAGAUUAGGUAGUUGGUGAGGUAAAGGCUCACCAAGCCUUCGAUCUGUAGCUGGUCUGAGAGGACGACCAGCCACACUGGGACUGAGACACGGCCCAGACUCCUACGGGAGGCAGCAGUGGGGAAUUUUGGACAAUGGGCGAAAGCCUGAUCCAGCCAUGCCGCGUGCAGGAUGAAGGCCUUCGGGUUGUAAACUGCUUUUGUACGGAACGAAAAGGUUCUUUCUAAUAAAGAGAGCCCA
rnacentral:rRNA from 1 species